AUUGAACGCUGGCGGCAGGCCUAACACAUGCAAGUCGAGCGGAGCGGCGGACGGGUGAGUAAUGCCUAGGAAUCUGCCUGGUAGUGGGGGAUAACGUCCGGAAACGGGCGCUAAUACCGCAUACUAUCAGAUGAGCCUAGGUCGGAUUAGCUAGUUGGUGGGGUAAAGGCCUACCAAGGCGACGAUCCGUAACUGGUCUGAGAGGAUGAUCAGUCACACGGGAACGGAGACACGGUCCAGACCACUACGGGAGGCAGCAGGGGGGAAUAUUGGACAAGGGGCGAAAGCCUGAUGAAGCCAGGCCGCGGGGGGGAAGAAGGUCUUCGGAUGGUAAAGCACGUUAAGUGGGGAGGCGGUACCAACAGAAUAAGCACCGGCUAACUUCGUGCCAGCCGCCGCGGUAAUUC
rnacentral:rRNA from 1 species